rnacentral:rRNA from 1 species
CACGUAGGGUGCGAGCGUUUGUCCGGAAUUAUUGGGCGUAAAGAGCUCGUAGGCGGUGUGUCGCGUCGGCCGUGAAAACCUGCAGCCUUAACUGUGGGCGUGCGGGUCGGAUACGGGGCAUCAGCUGGAGUUCGGCAGGGGAGACUGGAAUUCCUGGUGUAGCGGUGAAAUGGCGCAGAUAUCAGGAGGAACACCGGUGGCGAAGGCGGGUCUCUGGGCCGAUGACUGACGCUGGAGGAGCGAAAGCGUGGGGAGCGAACAGG